ACGGUUCCGGUUCCCGCCCGAGCCUGCCGCUCCACCGGGAGCGGCAGGUCAUGACAGCGACCCGGCGACC
rnacentral:ncRNA from 1 species